rnacentral:rRNA from 1 species
AUUGAACGCUGGCGGCAGGCCUAACACAUGCAAGUCGGGCGAGAGGCGGACGGGUGAGUAAUGUAUGGGGAUCUGCCUGAUGGAGGGGGAUAACUACUGGAAACGGUAGCUAAUACCGCAUACCAUCAGAUGAACCCAUAUGGGGUUAGCUGGUGGGUAAGGUAACGGCUUACCUAGGCGACGAUCCCUAGCUGGUCUGAGAGGAUGAUCAGCCACACUGGGACUGAGACACGGCCCAGACUCCUACGGGAGGCAGCAGUGGGGAAUAUUGCACAAUGGGCGCAAGCCUGAUACAGCCAUGCCGCGUGUAUGAAGAAGGUCUUCGGGUUGUAAAGUACUGUCAGUAGGGAGGCGUUACCGACAGAAGAAGCACCGGCUAACUCCGUGCCAGCAGCCGCGGUAAUAC